rnacentral:rRNA from 1 species
GUGUCAGCAGCCGCGGUAAUACGUAGGGUGCGAGCGUUAAUCGGAAUUACUGGGCGUAAAGCGUGCGCAGGCGGUCUUGUAAGACAGUCGUGAAAGCCCCGGGCUUAACCUGGGAACUGCGAUUGUGACUGCAAGGCUAGAGUGUGUCAGAGGGGGGUGGAAUUCCACGUGUAGCAGUGAAAUGCGUAGAGAUGUGGAGGAACACCGAUGGCGAAGGCAGCCCCCUGGGAUAACACUGACGCUCAUGCACGAAAGCGUGGGGAGCAAACAGGAUUAGAUACCCUGGUAGUCCACGCCCUAAACGAUGUCAACUGGUUGUUGGAAGGGUAACCUUUUAGUAACGAAGCUAACGCGUGAAGUUGACCGCCUGGGGAGUACGGUCGCAAGAUUAAAACUUAAAGGAAUUGGCGG